UUCAAAUCCGAUAGUCCCUAAUCAAAUGACAUAAGCAAAACCUCAAAUACAUCAAACUAUCGGAUCACAACUGUCAUGUUCCUGACUUGUUGCAAAUGUUGGUGGAUUAAACCUUGUUUUGUAGCUAGCUAAAGCUCUCACUUGUAUGACAUUUGUUCAUGUUGCUAAGUCGUUAGUUUUCUCUGUUUUGUCGAAUGCUAUUGUAUGUCAGUUUGUCUUUUUAUGCCCCACCUACGUUAGUAGAGGGACCUUAUGUUUUCUGGUCUGUGGCUCCGUUCGUCCGUCCGUUAGUUCGUUCGUCCCGCUUCAGGUUAAAGUUUUUGGUCAAGGUAGUUUUUGAUGAAGCUGAAGUCCAAUCAACUUAAACUUAGUACACUUGUUGCUUAUGAUAUGAUCUUUCUAAUUUAAAGCCAAAUUAGACUUUUUUGUGGGAGUUUCAGGUUAAAUUUUUUGGUCAAGGUAGUUUUUGCUGAAGCUGAAGUCCUAUCAACUUGAAACUUAGUACACAUGUUCCCUAUAGUAUAAUCUUUCUAAUUAUGCCAAAUUAGAUUUUUACCCUAUUUCACGGUCCAUGGAACAUGGAAAAUGAUUGAGUGGGGCAUCCGUGUACUUUGGACACAUUCUUGUUCUUUUUUAGCAAUGGUAUUGUCAGUUUAUUUUCGAUCUUUGAAAUUAAAUGUCUCUCUGAUAUCUUUCGCCUAUCUUGAAUAAAAUUCAUUAUAUUGACAAAAAUGUAUGAACCUUCAAACAGAAAUAAUAGGCAAAAAAUCAUAAAAAAAGGAAUACAGCAGUGAACAUUGUGUUAUAAUCUUAAUCUCAAUAAAAAAAAAGAAAUAUAUCAACGAACAAAAACAAUUAAGUGACAUAAAGGCAAACCUCAUACGCAAAAAUGUAAUCAAGAAUACUAGAAAUGUUAACAAGACACCAUGAACAUUUAGCAACACAAAAUGCAGGCUAUAAUCGUGUUCAAUAGUUAUCAAAGGUAGCAGGAUUAUAAUUUAGUACGCCAGACGCGCGUUUCGUCUACAUAAGACUCAUCAGCAAAAAUUUGUAUAAGUCGUCGUCUGACAGUUUUGAUGAAAAUAGUCAUCAAUUAAAUCUCCUCAUUCUAAAAUAGAAAAUGUACUGUCAUAUUUUCUCUAUCUGUAGUGUUUUUCAUUGAAUUUAACCCAUAUGUUCUAUUUUAGCUAUGUCGCCCAUGUUUCGAAAAAUAAAAUAUUUUAUCUAAAAUAUUGAGAAGGCAAAACAUGUAUUGUGGUUUUCUAGUAUGUCCAGUCUGGGUGCAAACAAAUAUUAUUCCUAGAAAUGUGCAGUGCUCUAGAUUUUUUUUCACUUAUUCAUAAUUUCCAAGGGAUAGAGAUGGUAGAAAAAUCAUUUUAUUGUGGCAUUCCAGCAUGUCCAGUAUGGUGUUAAAAAACUUACACUUAGAAUGCAAUACUAAUGAUUUAUUUGAUUAACUAUGAAUACUAUAAAUAAAGGCAACAGUGGUAUACUGCUGUUCAAAACCAU
rnacentral:lncRNA from 1 species